rnacentral:rRNA from 1 species
UACGUAGGGUGCAAGCGUUGUCCGGAAUUAUUGGGCGUAAAGAGCUCGUAGGCGGUUUGUCGCGUCUGUUGUGAAAACUGGAGGCUCAACCUCCAGCCUGCAGUGGGUACGGGCAGACUAGAGUGCGGUAGGGGAGAUUGGAAUUCCUGGUGUAGCGGUGGAAUGCGCAGAUAUCAGGAGGAACACCGAUGGCGAAGGCAGAUCUCUGGGCCGUAACUGACGCUGAGGAGCGAAAGCAUGGGGAGCGAACAGG